rnacentral:sRNA from 1 species
GUGCCUAAGGAUGAAAGUCGAACGAACUCAUUUGUAGCAAUAUGAGUGGGUUAUUUGCAGACGGGUGCGUAACAAGUGGGCGACCUACCUCAAAGUGUGGAAUAACGGACCGAAAGGUUCGCUAAUACCGCAUAUGCUCGACGAUCCUAUUUGUCGUGUAAAGCCGCAAGGCGCUUUGAGAGGGGCCCGCGGCCCAUCAGGUAGUUGGUGAGGUAAUGGCUCACCAAGCCGAUGACGGGUAGCUGUUCUGAGAGGAAGAUCAGCCACACUGGCACUGAGAUACGGGCCAGACUCCUACGGGAGGCAGCAGUGGGACUCCUACGGGAGGCAGCAGUGGGGCAGUUGGCUCAGAACGAACGCUGGCGGCUGGCUCAGAACGAACGCUGGCGGCAUGGCUCAGAACGAACGCUGGCGGC